rfam:Lachnospiraceae bacterium ACC2 genomic scaffold supercont1.2, whole genome shotgun sequence.
UGAUAGCUGUGAAGCGAGAGGUUGCUGUCUCGAAAGAGCAGGAGUUCCGCGGAGCGAAUGUCAAGUCUCGAUACUGACGACAA